rnacentral:rRNA from 1 species
AUACGGAGGAUGCGAGCGUUAUCCGGAUUUAUUGGGUUUAAAGGGUGCGUAGGCUGUGCGUUAAGUCAGGGGUGAAAUGCCGUCGCUCAACGACGGAGCUGCCCUUGAUACUGGCGUGCUGGAGUACGGAUGCCGUUGGAGGAAUGAGUGGUGUAGCGGUGAAAUGCUUAGAUAUCACUCAGAACACCGAUUGCGAAGGCAUCUGACGAAUCCAGCACUGACGCUGAGGCACGAAAGCGUGGGGAUAGAACAGGAUUAGAUACCCUGGUAUUCCACGCCGUAAACGAUGAUGACUAACCGUCGGCGAUAGACAGCCGGUGGCCAAGCGAAAGCGAUAAGUCAUCCACCUGGGGAGUACGUCGGCAACGAUGAAACUCAAAUGAAUUGACGGGG